rnacentral:rRNA from 1 species
CCUACGGGAGGCAGCAGUGGGGGAUAUUGCACAAUGGGGGAAACCCUGAUGCAGCGACGCCGCGUGUGGGAAGACGGUCCUCUGGAUUGUAAACCACUGUCCCCAGGGACGAAGAUGACGGUACCUGGGGAGGAAGCACCGGCUAACUACGUGCCAGCAGCCACGGUAAUACGUAGGGAGCGAGCGUUGUCCGGAAUUACUGGGGGAAAAGGGAGCGUAGGCGGGACUGCAAGUUGGGUGUCAAAUCUACCGGCUCAACCGGUAGCCGCACUCAAAACUGCAGUUCUUGAGUGAAGUAGAGGCAGGCGGAAUUCCUAGUGUAGCGGUGAAAUGCGUAGAUAUUAGGAGGAACACCAGUGGCGAAGGCGGCCUGCUGGGCUUUUACUGACGCUGAGGCUCGAAAGUGUGGGGAGCAAACAGGAUUAGAUACCCCGGUAGUC